rnacentral:rRNA from 1 species
UCGAGAAUCUUCGGCAAUGGACGCAAGUCUGACCGAGCGACGCCGCGUGCGGGAUGAAGGCCUUCGGGUUGUAAACCGCUGUCAGAGGGGAUGAAAUUUUGACAUAUCCUCAGAGGAAGGACGGGCUAAGUUCGUGCCAGCAGCCGCGGUAAGACGAACCGUCCAAACGUUAUUCGGUAUUACUGGGCUUAAAGGGUGCGUAGGCGGCCUGUUAAGUUGGGUGUGAAAUCCCUCGGCUCAACCGAGGAACUGCGCCCAAAACUAGCAGGCUUGAGGGAGUCAGAGGUGAGCGGAACUCAGGGUGGAGCGGUGAAAUGCGUUGAUAUCCUGGGGAACACCGGUUGCGAAAGCGGCUCACUGGGGCUCUACUGACGCUGAUGCACGAAAGCUAGGGGAGCAAACGG